rnacentral:lncRNA from 1 species
UUUUUAGGGCCAUACUCACAGUACAUGGAGGUUCCCAGGCUAUGGGUUCAAGGAGCUGUAGCCACCAGCCUACACCACAGCUACAGCAAUGUGGGAUCCAAGCCAGUCUGCAAUCUACACCACAGCUCCUCACAGCAAUGCUGGAUCCUUAACCCACUGCGCAAAGCCAGGGAUCGAACCCGCAACCUCAUGGUUCCUAGUCAGAUUCGCUUCCAUUGCGCCACGAUGGGAACUCCAGUUUUCUUUUUUUAAUUUUACAAGUUAACUGCAAUCUUAAUUCUGCAUUGCAGAUUGUUGUUUAUCCUGUGUUACAUUAGCCAAAUUUUAUAGGAAAGAUUUCAUUACUAUAUAUUUCAAUAUGGCUUAAUGUUACAGUCAUCUACUUUCAGAUUAAAAACUUAAACUUUCAAAUUAAUAUAUUCUUGACGGAAAUGUCUAGGGUGAUUUGGAGGGAGAUGAGCAGAAGGUAAACAUUCUGUAAGAAAAACGCUUAACAAUCAUGUCUCCAUUCUUACUGAUUUUUUUUAGCAGUGGGAAAGAAUAGACACAAAGAUCAGGGAAAAAUAGUAUUGUCUCAAAGAGAACACAAAAUUGUGUUAACUGUCGGUUUAAAAAAAUGGCUAGACGCUGAGGUUUAAGACUACAAAAAUUAUAAACAAAAGUGUAAAUCCUACAUGUGCUUAUAUGUUUGAAUUGGGAGUUUCAAGUGUUUUUUAGGUUGGAGUCACUCAGGGCAAUUAAAAAUAACAACCAUCUCUCAAAGUAUUUCCAUUGAAUAGUCAAACCUAUACAGUGCAACUCUCACCAUCUUUUUAAAUGAAAUAGAAAUGUUUAUGGCUACCUCUAACUUAGUAAGAUGAAGAUUUGCUAGAAUAGAUUUUAGAAACUGUUAUUAAAAUGAAUUAUCCAUGUAAUGUGCUUUCUGAGAUAUUUACCUUGAAAAAGGGACUUUUCCCCUGGCCAAAAUCAAAGGUCAGAUAUGGAUGCUGAUGGAACCAGCUUGAGAGGAGGUGAAUGGCACAUACUCCCUGCUUUUGUCCUGGAUGAUUAAAUUAAUCACUGUGGCAAGAAGUGAGAAUCACCUCAUUUUGUUUCCAACCAGGUCCCAGGGAUGGUCCACCCAACCUUACUGCACAAGAAAGAGAAGCUCCAAAUCCACAUGCUAUGGUUUUCCUUUGUAGUUUGGUCUCUGAAAUUUCAUUUUACCCAGCUCUCCCUCCACUUUGAACAUCUUACCCCUUCUAGGUGAGAAAAUUGCUCUUUGACUUUAAAAACAUCUUCAACAGCCUCAUGGACCACCCUGCCCAUGCUCCUGAAGUAUAAAAUAGAAAAGGUUAAUGUACAGACCAUCAAAAUGGUUUCUACAGCUAUGACCUUGAACACACUUUAGAAAACAAAUCUGUCUCAAAGUCCUAAAGUGUCUGCCCUCAGGUUUUCCCUAACUGGUCAUUAAUUACUGUGGCUCAUGUCAAAGUAGUUUCAGACAUGAAGGCAAAGGACACCGAAAACUCAAUAAUCAUAUAGCUGACAUGGAUGUCACUGUCUUUGAACAGGUGAGGGGAAGAAAAAUAUCUGAUUAAGGGCAAUGCAAUUAGCAUAAGAUGUUCUUGACUGAUUUGACUGCAAUGCCUAUGAUAUUUAAAAUGGCUAAUAGUUGGAUUCAGAGUUGGGAUAUUAGCGGAAAUCUUGGAAUAGGAUGGAAUCAAGAGUAUGUGUUUCAAAAAGGAGAAGUUCUUUUAGAGACAUGAAUCCUUUUUUUUUUUAAUGACCACACCCACAGCAUAUAAAAUUCCUGGGUCAGGGACUGAAUCCAAGUGGCAGCUGCAACUUCUGCUGCAGCUUCAGCAACACUAGAUCUUUUAAUCCACUGUGCUGGGCGGGGGAUCAAACCUGCCCCUCUGCAGUGACCUUAGCUGCUGCAGUCUGAUUCUUGGCCCACUAUGUGAUAGUGGGAACUCUCUGGAGAGAAUGAAUCUUGAUGUAACUUACUCAGUUGGAUAAAAUGAGAUAAUCAAAUAGGAAAAGUAUCCGGAGAGCAUGCUGUGCCUUCCCCAUGACCAUAUGAUGUAGUGCUUCAGGCAAAAGGCGAAUGGGGACUCGUAUUCACAUGUCAAAAGAAGUGUUACAUAAAGAAUAAAGGAGUUUUUUUCUUUUUUCAGAAAAGCAUUAUUUCAUGCAAUUCUCAGCCACAUGCUUAAAAAAUGUUUUGCGAUAUUGGAGAGAGUCCAAAUAAGGACAAUAAAAAUGAUAUAAAGUAGAGAAAACAUGACCUCUAAGUAUGGCUAACAAAACUAUACUUGUGCCUCCUGGGAGGGACCCUGAGGGACCAUACAGACUGUCCACUGUCUUCAAAAGAAUAGGCCAGAAAAGGGCAUGGGGCCUGCUUUAAGUAGUCAUUUGGGGUCAAUAAACAAUUGUCUUUAAUGACAAACAGCAAGACAGUCUUGUUUAAUUGGAACACAGGGUUUUGCAAAUUGCUUUCUUCAGAGGUAUAUACGUUUAGAAAACAAAACAAACUAAACAGAAAAGAAAUUGUGCGGCUUGAAGAAAUAGCAAAAAAUAGCUCACUUUCGGGGGAAAAACAUUGUGAUGCUUCAUAAACAUUUUAAAUGUGGACAUCCUUCAGUUAGAAGAAAAAAAUAGCCAUAACUUGGCAAUUACAGUUUCCUUUCAUCUCCAGAGGUUGCUGAACAUACUAUAUGAAACUGCAGUUAAGGAAUUAUUUCUUGGCUCCUUCCCCUGGGAAGAUGUUGGUUCCACCAUCAUCCACAGCCACUCAGGGGCCUGGUCCCCCACCCCACUCCCCAUGGCUCCUGAGCCAGGCAGUACUAAGACGUGGAAAAGGACUUCACAGCAGUGGGAAGAAGAUGAAAUUUUGGCUACUGACGAACUCCUUAAACUUAUUCUGGUGCCAACCACUGUUAGGCAGGAAUUUGGUCUUACAUGGCUCCUAGUAAUUGAAAGCACUUUACAAGGCCCUCUGCCAGGACCCAUAUAGACAGGGGGAAAAAAUAACUUUUAUUCCACUUAUUAAAUUUCACAUUGCUUCUCCCUGGUAGCAAAGGAAACAGAAAGGAGAUAGAGUGAUGAAUUACGAUCCCAGGCAGGGAGGGCUAUUCUUAGGCUCUGCUGGCUGGAGAGUCAGAAGCCCAGCUCAGGCUUGUAUUUUUUCCAUUCUGUCUACACAUCUCCAGAAGCACAGAGUAAAGGGCCAAGUGAUUUCAAUCCUAUGAAAAAUGUGGCUCUCUUCUGGAACUGAACCUUUAAAAUAUGUGUCCUGCUUUGUUGAAAUAUACUUUGGAAUACUGACUUUGGAUGUAGCCACAAUAGGUUAUUUAUUGCUUUGAAAAUGUAUUGAUAGCCUUUAAUUCAUAGCCAACCUUCUUUCAUGGUAUUUCUUUACUUUUCAGAGAUAGGACUUCCUAAAAGGGGGGAAGAUAAAUGUGUGAGUUUAGGAGCAUGGUGGGUGGAGGUAAGGCUGUAGGAAAACAGGGCCAUAUAAAAAUAUAAGUAUGACCAUAAUUUAAUCUAUUUUUUAACAAAAGAAUCCUAGCUGAUGAAUCAGAAUUUUGUAAUGGGUUAGAGGAGAGGCUUUAUAGAGAGACAGACAAGAGUCUGACUCAUGUUUGGGUCACUUAUGAGUGUGUGACAUUAAGCAAACAGUUAAAUUUCUCAGUGUUCUCAACUAUAAAAUGGGGAUUAAAAAUACCAACUUCAAAAGGGCAUGUGUAUUGGAAUUUCCACUGUGGCACAGAGGUUUAAGGAGCCAGCAUUGUCUCUGUAGUGGCUCAGGUUGCUGCUAAGACUUGGGUUCAAUCCCUGGCCUGGAAUAGUAAGUUAAGGUUAUGGCCUUGCACAACUAAGGCAUGGAUUGCAGCCACAGCUCAGGUUCCAUCCCUCGCCCAGGAACUUCCUUAUGCUGUGGGUGCAGUCAAAAACACAAACAAACAAUAAAAGGAGAAUAAGUAUUAAAUAACAGGAUUUUGGCAUUUUCCAUUGUGGCUUAGUAGGUUAAGAACCCAACCAGUAUCCUGAGGAUGUGGGUUUGAUCCCUGGCCUUUCUCAAUGGUUUAAAGGAUCCAGCAUUACUGUCGGCUUCAGUGUAGUUUGCAGAUGCAGCUCAGAUCUGGUGUUGCUAUGGCUGUGGCAUACGUUGUCAGCUGCAGCUCCGAUUCGACCCCUAGGUUGGGAACUUCCAUAUGCCUUAGGUGUGGCCUAAAAAGCAAUAAAGAAAGAAAGAAAAGAAAAAAGGAAAAAGGAAAGAAGAGAAAAGAAAAGAAAAGAAAAGAUGAAUAAAUAAAUAAUAGCCUGUAAGACAUUAAGAAUUCAAUGCUUGGACAUGGCAAGUUUUCAAAAAAUGCUGUCUACCAUUCAUAUUAUUAUUAUUAUUAUGUACAAUUAAGUCUAUUCAGGGUAGAUACUUUUAUAAUCAGGAAGUUUCUAAAUUCUGGUCUUUAGUGUUCUAAAUUAAAUCAUAUUAUCUUCUAAAGAAAUCUAACUUAAAGUAACCAGAAAGGAGGUUUGUUAGAAGUAUUAACUUUAUAUACAACAUUUAAGCAACAGAAAAAGCC